rnacentral:rRNA from 1 species
AUGGAGCAAAUGGCCAUGAGCUCUAAUAAAUAUGAGGUUUUCUAUCACAACAUACCUCAGCUGCAGCGAAAAGACAACAGAGCCAUGGGUGCCGAGGGCGGGCACUGGUGCUCGGCAGAAGGCGUUGUCGAGGUGCUCACUGCUGCCCGGCUCUACUUGCACGCCACCAGAUUCAGAAUUGGCAUGGACCUGGGCGCCGCCGCCUUUGCAGCUGCUCCCCGUGUACAUAAUUUAUUUUGUAGAGGAAGAAUAUGGCACGGGAAUGAGUUUGCACCUACUGUUGGAUUCUUCCUUACUACCCACCCGUCUCAGGAAAACACAUACUCUAAAGCAGUAAAACAUUUCGAGUUCUAUGAUCAGCUUGGACAAUACAAUUUGGAUUCUUUUGGAGACUGGGAACAACUUUCAAGCUACUUGUCACAAAGUUUCAUUGAACGCCUUGAGCCAACUGGUGGAGAAAUUACAAUUGCAUUGGAGACAUCAUGGUUGGAUAGAGCUCCCCAAACAGAUAUGGAGAGAUGA